AUUGGCCAAAGGUUUGCAGAGCACAUUUCCACGGAACAAGGAAAUUUACACCCCAUAAACAAGCAGAGGACGUUCAGUGUAAGCAGUUAUACAAAGUGAAUUUCAUUUAUAGGCUUUUGAACGAUCAUCAAGUGACCAGUAUUACUUGUUUCUUGUGUUUUCACCAGGUUGUGGCCAGGGAGAUCCUGACUCAGUUUCAGGUGUGGCAGAGGGCCUGCUAUAGCAGGAACAUUGAGUGGGGUCCGAUUACAGCAAAGGUUCAGUCCUCUCUAUUUGUUCUGUCUGAUGAGAUGAUCUGUUUUGAUUAUCUGAAAUGAAUAAAGAUAAAGUCAUGUUUUCAGAGAGUGUAUUUGUGCUUUACUUUUACACAGAUCAUUUCUGCAUUGCCGCAGUUGUAUGGACAGGAGGCAGAGGUGAUCGUACGAUGUACUAAGAUGCUACACAACCGCAGGGAUUACCUUAGAAGGAGAGCAAAGACGCAUAUUACUGUCCUUAGAAAUGGAGAAAGCCCCUGUAUCUCUAAGUGCACUCAGUGUUGUGACAAGUAUCACUGCCCAUUUUGUGAGACCUGGGUCUACACGCCAAGAGAGUUAGGGAGCGUUGUUAACCACGUCCAGAAUCAUCUGAAGUUGGCUGUCCAGCAGGAUGGUGUGUAUAGUGCUUCCAAAUUCAUGAAGAUGUUCUUUUGUCAAGGAAUGUUAAUUCACUCUAGUUUAUUAUUUUUUUUAAACUUUUUUCAGAUUUCACUAUUGUCAAGUGUAACUUAAAAUGCAGAGAAUAUGCACAUUUUCAUUGCUGCUACUGUCCUGCCACUGUCCUUCGAAGAGGCCAGUUAAAAACACAUCUCACAAAAUGCAAGCAGAAGUUCAAUGCUGAAGAGGAAUUUGAAGGAACAUGCUCAUUUGAGGAAAGUCCUGAACAUGAGUAGUGUAUUUUAUUUUUAUUUUUUAGUUCUGAUACUGUUGAUUCACUAGUUCAUAUAUUUAGUUCCCUGUUAGCUACAGGUAACACUCAGAACUGUAGUAUUUGGUGGAUUAUGAAACUAUGUUGUGGAAAUAAACAUUUACUAAGAGUGUAUCUGUGCUGCUUCUUUCAGAACUGUGAAGUGCUGUGUAAGGG
rnacentral:lncRNA from 1 species